ACGGGUGCGUAACGCGUAUGCAACCUACCUUUAUCUGGGGGAUAGCCCGGAGAAAUCCGGAUUAAUACCGCAUAAAAUCACAGGAUGGCAUUAUCCAAUGAUCAAACAUUUAUGGGAUGAAGAUGGGCAUGCGUGUCAUUAGCUAGUUGGCGGGGUAACGGCCCACCAAGGCGACGAUGACUAGGGGAUCUGAGAGGAUGGCCCCCCACACUGGUACUGAGACACGGACCACACUCAUACGGGAGGCAGCAGUAAGGAAUAUUGGUCAAUGGAGGCAACUCUGAACCAGCCAUGCCGCGUGCAGGAAGACUGCCCUAUGGGUUGUAAACUGCUUUUAUCCGGGAAUAAACCACAUUACGUGUAAUGUGCUGAAUGUACCGGAAGAAUAAAGAUCGGCUAACUCCAUGCCAGCAGCCGCGGUAAUACGGAGGAUCCAAGCGUUAUCCGGAUUUAUUGGGUUAAAAGGGUGUGUAGGCGGCCUGUUAAGUCAGGGGUGAAAGACGGUAGCUCAACUAUCGCAGUGCCCUUGAUACUGAUGGGCUUGAAUGGACUAGAGGUAGGCGGAAUGAGACAAGUAGCGGUGAAAAUG
rnacentral:rRNA from 1 species